UCUCCUCUCUGCAUGCAGACUGGUGUGCUGAGCUCCUGCAGGACACGCAGAGGACACGGGAAGGAAUCUGCAGAGGUUGGCACUGGUGUCUGAACAGCUACAAGCGUCUGCGCCUCUCCUCACACAUGCUGGGCACGUGCUGCUGCUUCCCCACUCCUCCAGGACUGCCGGUCAUGCUGCAAAACACAGGUCUGAUGAGUACAGCACUAAAAUCCAGCAGGACUGUUAAGAACAAAUCUAAAAGAACAAAAAAAAAAAAAGAAAGAAAGAUGAGUAAUCAAAGUGAAAUGUGGCCCCCGCUCAAAGUAAAACACAAAGUGCAAGGCGUUCCCAGGGGCAAACCCGAGAGCAGCCAGCUGGCUGCCAGCGUGGAUUGCGGAGUCCUCCAGGGCUCAGGGUUUCAGCCGCCGGUGCCUCUGAGGAUACCAACAUGGUCUGCAGAGGCUCAGUGUUGCAACGAGCGUGCCUCUGCCUGGUAAAUCAAUGAUAGGGGAGCAAUUCCUGAGUGCCACGCAGGGGGCCUAGCGGCUAGGGCACUGCGUGCUUUGAGGCAGAAGUCCCAGGCGUAGCAUCACUUCUCUUCUUCCGUCCUUUCUUCCUUCCUUCCCUGGCUCUCCCUUUCUCCCGCCUCCCCUCAGACAUUUAAAAAGCUCCUCGUGUCUUAGUUACCAGAAUUAAAAAAGUGCAACUUAAGGAAAUUCCUCUGCCUUGUCAGCACUGGAGGUUUGCUCAAUUUCUCCUGCGAGACCCGAGUCAUCGGUGCAGCUGCCAGUGCACAAAUCCCGGCUGUACGUGAGCAAAGCUGUUUGCCUGAGCUUGCACGGCGUGGUUUGCUGUGGUGCUGUGAGCCUUGGCUUCACGUGGGAGAAAGCAGCUCUGCAAGAGGCAGCUCUGAGAGGGUUUGGAGGUACAGGAGCCCAACAGGAUCCUGAACUGGCACAGCUGCUCCGUGUAUCCUCAAGGAUAACAAGCCACAGAUGAAUCUCUUCCUCCAGGCAGACGAGGUCUUACCCCCCUGCCAGCCGAAACCACCAGCUCAGCGGGUGAAAAUCAGGCCAGUGGCACCGACGGGCUCUGAGAAGUUGCAGUCGCCGAGUUCCUGCGCAUCAGCCAAGCCGCUGGAGCUCCUGGCAUGAGCCUGAGCCAGCUGUGGUGUGCUGGGACCCAGCUCCAGCCUCAGCGAGCUGGGGACGAUCUCGUGUGCUUCAGUUCGCCAUCAGGGCGAGCCCAGAGGAAGCCCGGACACGCAGGACAGCCCAGACGACGGGCAGGAAUUUGUUCCGAGCUUUUUGGCCAGGAAAAGAAAACGCAGCAUGGCAGGCAGAGCUCGUCUGAACCCCCACAGCCCUUCUUCUCCCAGCUCCCCAGCCUAUUCCGAGGCGAAAUUAAUUCCAAAGAAUUGCCCCCUGGGUUCUUCCAGAUGCUGUGAAACACUCGUACCUUGGGGGGAGAGCAGUUUGCUUUUUUUUUUUUUUUUUUUUAAUGGACAGUCAUAACAUGGGCUCUCCCCUGAAGAAAAGACAAGGAGGAGCUCUUUAUGGAGCUCUUCAUUUCCUGGCAGUGUCUCGAGGUGUUCUCGUCUCCCUCUGCUUAUUGUCUCCUUCCUUUUAUUGAGCCGUGAGUUCUUCGCAGCAGCAGCCAUCCUUCAGCUUCUUUGCACGGUGCCAAACAAGCGGAUAUUGCCCGUGAUGGAAAAACAGCAUUUCAGGUGAGCUCUAGAAAAUCGUAGGCUGGUUUGAGAUGCAGCUGCAGGUCCCACGUGGCACCAAAGCCACCGCAGCGGGCGGCGUCAGGCCCAAAACUCAUCCAGAAACCUGAGCUGACUGCCUGCGACCUUGCUGCCUUGCAGGAACAGAGAGAAAUAAACCUAAAGAACGGGAAAACAACCAAGCAACCAAAAAGCUACAUCAAAGAAAUGCACAAAGGGCUUGGGGAUUGCCCUCGAGUGCCCCUCACAACUCGUGGGCUUUCAGUCCCGCUCUCCUUGUCCGUCUGGAGGCUUCCACAUGGGAACACCCAAAGUGGUUUUUUUUUGGGUUCUCUGGUGCAGCUUUUGCACAACUGGACAGGACCAGUCGCUCAGAGAAUUACUGCCAGAGCUGACCCUUAUUUUCACCCAAAGAUACAAACCAGCUAAGUGAGACCACCAGUUUCUCCCCCUUUUCCCAUCUUUUUUUUUUUUUUCUUGUCCCAAGUAAAUAUUUUAAGGUAACGCACAUCGGCACCGAUACUGCAAGGCGACACGGAUGGGAAGGAGUUAGUCACAACGCUCACAGUUCAGCGUUUUUGCACUGGAAACACGUAGUCAGAGCUUUCAUUUUACACUACUCGAAGUGCAACAAGGCAUUGAACAGCCCCAAAACGCCGUCAGGACUUGAAAUUAUUAAAAAUAGCCGAGUUUGGAGCCACUGCCAACGCAGCAACCGAAAAAAGGGAUCAACGUGUGGGAGUGAAGCCAGGUCCUGUGGGGACAACGGGGUCCCAAACACCCCCGGCCACGGCACAGUGGCUGGAGCAGGACACCGCAGGUAGCUGGGGAGGUGAGGGAGGCUGGUGGGAGGCUCCUGGAGCCUCCUGGGGCUGCCAGAGAGAUUUGGGGCUCAACAAGACCCACCUCAGGCACUGCCUGAGGAAAACACAUUUUUAAACCAGCCCUGAGGUCACCCAGCGUGAUGUCCAGUUGACAGGGGCUUCAGCAGGGAGGCUCCUGCUCGCCCCUACUCCUCCCACCCCAAAUAUUUUCAGCGUGGUAAUAAAGAGCAUCUGCCUUAAGGAGAAAAGCCACGGGAACGUCCCUGUGGAUAGGGCAGGAUAGUUAGCAGCACGCUGCUGCCCUGACCCCAACGUGAAGCUGCCCUGGUGCUGGCUCUCCAGCCAAGCCACUCCUCCACUUGUAUCGCCUCCGAGGCAUCAAUGAAAUUCGGUUUUGUGGAACACGAAAAAAAAAAA